rnacentral:rRNA from 1 species
AUUGAACGCUGGCGGCAGGCCUAACACAUGCAAGUCGAACGCGUGGCGGACGGGUGAGUAAUGUCUGGGAAACUGCCUUAUGGGGGGGGAUAACUACUGGAACCGGUCGCUAAUACCACAUACCCUCAGAUGUGCCCAGAUGGGAUUAGUUUGUUGGUGGGGUAACGGCUCACCACGGCGACGAUCCCUAGCUGGUCUGAGAGGAUGACCAGCCACACUGGAACUGAGACACGGUCCAGACUCCUACGGGAGGCAGCAGUGGGGAAUAUUGGACAAUGGGCGCAAGCCUGAUGCAGCCAUGCCGCGUGUAUGAAGAAGGCCUUCGGGUUGUAAAGUACUUUCAGCUGGGAGGCGUUACCCGCAGAAGAAGCACCGGCUAACUCCGUGCCAGCAGCCGCGGUAAUUC